UGAGAAGGGUUAUUGAAUUUUGCUGUUAUUCGUAAAUUUUGGUAAUGCAUACCCCCUCGAAUCAAUGAACGUUUUAACACUUGUAUAGUUGUAUUUUAUCAUUUCAUGGGCAUAGCAGGUGGGAGUAACAGUGAAAGAUUCAAGUCUUAGACUUUUGAGGUACUCCUUAAGAAGUAAGAAAUUCAACAAAUGAAUAAAACAUUGUAAAUUUUCAGAGCUAAAUGUACCGUGUAUUACGGAGUAUGAUCAAAGAUCAAAGAUGGCACCUGCACCAGUAAUCGAACUCAUUGACUCCGACGAUGACGACGAUGGCAACGCCAAAACUCCAGUUUCCAAACCACUCAACACAACCACUAACCCCCCUAAUUUCGUCGAUCUUGUCGAAGACAGCCCAACUCCGACGACGACCAAAUUCCAGAAAUCAUCAUCUCCGUUUGUUCCCGUAACCCCACUUUCCAAACUCGCUCAUCCUCCUCUUCUCGCUAAUUCUUCAUCAGGUGAUGAGUCGAUACCUGAUGAUGAUGGAGGCCUGGAAAAGGGGACUUGUGUGAAGAACAUAGGAGCAUGUGCAGGUUCUGAUUCAGGAAAGGACCUGGUAAGAAGCCCUAAAUACGCUGUGUUGGAGCGUGAGAUUGAUUUUGAUAGUUGGUUAGACAUGGAUUCAAACGUUUGUCUUCACAAGGGAGGGGAACCCAAUGUUCAUGUGGAGGGGAAAGGCCUAGGAAAAAGAAGUUCAAUGGAAAAUGGAAGAGCAGCUACAGAUGUGGAACAGAACUUGAAAAAGAGACCUAAAGUUGUAGCAAAGGAGAACUGUCAGGAGAAGGAAAGGAAUUACUGCUACUUUCAAUGUGGAGCCCUUGGAUAGUUGUUCAAAUUUUCAAUCCACAUGCCAUCUUGGGAACUUGAAGUCCACGAAGACAUAUGACCAUAGAAAUCAUAUACAACCUAGUGAAAAUCAUGAUUGUGAAAAAAAAAUUGUCAGACUGGAAAAAAGGAGGUGCAAUUCAUAAGCCGGAAAGUGGAGGUGAUGCUAAUACAGAGAAGAAACAGAACAAAGUUAAUCAGGCUGAAAAUAGAAAGAAAUUAUCUGAGGAAAAAAGGCUCAUGAAGGAGCAAGAGAGGUCGCGUAAAGCGGAAUUGAAGGAUGAAACUGCAAAACAGAAACAGUUGGCAAAAGAGAGGAAGAAGUUAGAGAGAACAUAAGUUCAGUGAGAAAGACAUUGUGGCUGUGAUUGAUCCAAAGGUUCUGUCAGGUUCAGUUGGAGGUAGGCUCGGACCACUGCUAACCAUGUUUAGCCAGAAAGAUCUCAGGUCUGAAAUUUUUGCAA